rnacentral:rRNA from 1 species
CGGACGGGUGAGUAACACGUGGAUAACCUACCUAUAAGACUGGGAUAACUUCGGGAAACCGGAGCUAAUACCGGAUAAUAUUUUGAACCGCAUGGUUCAAAAGUGAAAGACGGUCUUGCUGUCACUUAUAGAUGGAUCCACGCUGCAUUAGCUAGUUGGUAAGGUAACGGCUUACCAAGGCAACGAUGCAUAACCGACCUGAGAGGGUGAUCGGCCACACUGGAACUGAGACACGGUCCAG